rnacentral:rRNA from 1 species
UACGAAGGGGGCUAGCGUUGCUCGGAAUUACUGGGCGUAAAGCGCACGUAGGCGGCUUUCUAAGUCGGGGGUGAAAUCCUGGAGCUCAACUCCAGAGCUGCCUUCGAUACUGGAAAGCUCGAGUCCGGGAGAGGUGAGUGGAACUGCGAGUGUAGAGGUGAAAUUCGUAGAUAUUCGCAAGAACACCAGUGGCGAAGGCGGCUCACUGGCCCGGUACUGACGCUGAGGCGCGAAGGCGUGGGGAGCGAACAGG